UCUCUCCUAAUGCCCUAACUCUCAAUACGAGCCAUUAUCUUGAAUCACCGCCAAUACUCUGCAUCUGAUAUCGCCGAUUCUGCCGAUACUCUGCAUCUGAUAUUGCCGAUUCUUUGUCGCCGAUGAACGCCUCCAUGACAUCUAACAGUGGCCUCACCUAUAAUAAUCUUCCAGGUUCUAGAAAGCGUUAUAGAGAUUUAGUUAAUCCGUUGCUUGAAUAUUCGUUUCAGUCGAAUAGUCGAAUAACCGUUGUUGUUCUUUCACGUUUAUCGGUGAGGACAUUUCGUUACAGAUCCAACAAGUACCGUUACAGAUUGAACAAUUCAUUUCUCAACAUGUGCAUCUCCUUUCUUCUUCUUCUAUUUCUUUAUUCAAUCAUUGUUGAUUUUAGAUUUGAAUUGAACAUGUGCACCGUAAAAUGUAGACGAAAAAAAAGAAAAUCGAGGUUCAAUUUAAGAGUACUUUGAUGAUUUGUUCCUAAUUAUGUUUGUUCGUUUUGUUUUGAUUCAUAUUCUUCGAUUUUAAUUUGACGAAAUACAUUGUGGUUUGAGUUACAGCAACUAGAACCUUGUUGAAGGGCAGAACACUCUACACCUCCAUAUCCGCAAGCAUAGUCAAGAUCUAACAGAUAAAUGGUGGGAGCUUAUUGGCAUACGCAUAGUCACAGAAAAAUAGUGAAAAUUCUGUCAUUGUUGGGCUAGAUCAAAGUGAUCCGACAACGAAGAAGGAGAAAUUCGUGGUGUUGGAACUGGAUGGAGAUGUAAUAGUUUCUUAAAGGUUAUCGAUCCCUCUUACGACAUUCAGGUGGUGUCACAUCCUAAAGAUUAAACAUCGCAAAAAGAAAUAAAAAUUGUUUCUACUUUUUAUGGAGUUACUCUAGUAUUUUAUUAUACAAAUUUAUCUUUUAAUUUAGUUUAGUUGUCUUUUAAACUAUUAGAACAUUAUAAAAAAUUUGUAAUGUGUUAAUUAAUGUUUUUUAUUUGGUUAUAAUAUGAUUUUAUAA